UCGGACAUCGUAUGUAAAAAUUAUGCCUAGAACAGCUUUGUGUAUGAAUUCAUGCUAGAAUCAGUUACAACCUAACCUAUGGACCAAGGUAUAACCGGUCAUAAUUAUUCAGAAGGAGGGAUUGGAGCGCAACUUUUUGCUCGGCUCCCUUCCAGCUCUCUUGUAUCUUGUUUUGAAGAAGGUCUAUUAAAUUCUUAGAAAAAUGAGAGAGAAGCAGUCGUAUAGUUUCCCAAAUCCUUAGAAAAAAUUCUCCCUUUCGUUUGAUAAAACCACCUACAAUCUUAUAGAUCUUAACGAAAACCGCUUGUUUCUUCCCCUUUUUUUUCUCAUAAGUUCUCUCAAUUCUUAUAUAUUUUCUAUACUUCUCUUCUUCGAUAUCUAAAUCUCUCUUUUCUUUUUCUCUGAUUGUUUUAUAAUCUCCUGGUAGUUCUGUUUUUCUUCAAUUUCUUAGUUCUGGUGCUUGUUUUUCUUAUGUCUCCUCUUCGUAUUUGGUAGAUCUUCGUAAUCUCCUUUUGUUUUUUGAAAGUUUCUUCUUUGUUUGUUGGAAUUGUUUUGAGUCUGUUGCAAGGUUUAAUCAAUUGAGUUGUGUAGUUUGCUUUCCUCUCUAGCCUUUAUUCUACUCUUCUGGACAAGUCUUCUUCUAAUCUCUUUCUGUUUGAUUUCUAUCAUGGAAAUUGAUUUAUUAUGUUGUCUAUUUGAUAAUCUGGAUUUUGAAACUAUUUCUCAAGAACAGUCCCUAAUCUCUUUGAUUGAGAUUGAUUUUCUUUGUAAUACUUUCAAUGGUCUCAACUUGGGUGAUGGUGACUAUAACAGAAUGCAAGCUAGUGAAAAUGAAUUUUUAGAUGACUUUGCUCACUAUCAAGCUUCCAUUACCAGUAAAGUUCCCUCUCUCAUGAGUAGGGGUUUCAACAGAUCUCAGGAGAUCAAUUGUCAAGCAAGAUUUACUGUUUUUGGAAAGUUUCACAGUGCUAUUCUGAUUUGGGGUGUUUAUGUGGACGGCGAUGGAGUCUCCGAUGAUCUGAAUUUCAAGUUGUCCGAUGAAAUUGACGGAACUCUCCAAACAAGGUAUAUAUCUUAUUAGCCCUUUGAAGUACUAUCCUUUAUGGUCCCAUCUUAAUUCUCUCAGGAUUUAUCAAGUUUUAUCUGACGAAGAAGACAAUUUUGGUUGUUGGUUUAUUCACGUGAACUUUAUUUGGCCUUAUCCUCUGCCCAAAGACAAAUACUUUUGGAUUAUUAUCUCUUUUACCUCUGGCAAUGUUCUUUAAUUGCGCUUGUUUUUUUCUGGUUUGCUGAUGAUAAAGAUUACUUAAUUGCUCUUGUUACUUUAUUCGUGAUAUCCUGGAUGUUCUCGUUAUAUGAAAAUGAUAGUUCUCAUCACAUUAAUGAUCCCGUGCUUUCUAUUAUUACAAUUCUAAAACAAGUUCAGUUGCAAUUGCUUGAUUAUAUGAAGAGGGAUUGUCAAUCAUUUGGGGUCAUGAGUAUUCACGGUGAUUAAUAUGGAUGGUAUUCCUCGCUGGCUAGUAAUUCUUUUGAGUGUUGGCCUUUUACUGCAUUCUUGUGGGGUUGAUAAGAUAGAGGAGCUGUAUGUUGGGGACUAUGGAGGCAUGGGUCAGAAUCAGAAAGAUGAUCUUGUCCCUUAUUGUACCAGUAGAGUCUUCUAUAAGCUCUUAGUCGUCAGAGCUCUAACCUAUCGACAGAUAUAAUUAGAUCUCUAUUGGUUCUCUCGUGAGUGGAAUGGCUUAAUCUCUCUGACCCUGAUGGAAAAUGAUAGAAGGCGAUUGUUUAAUUUGGAGGAUGAAAUUGUUUGGAUGUCUUAUUAUAACAAUGGAUGUUUAGGAGUUUGUUCUGAUAUUGAUGGAAAUUCUUUCUGUUUAGUUGUAUGUCUUUGUGGUUCUUUACUUCGUGAUAUAAAAAUUGAAGGAAAAGCUGAUGUUUUCUAUUGGCAUGCUGAUGAGGAAAUUAGAUAUGAACCUUGUAUGUGGUCUCCGAUGGAACUUCAGUGGUUUAUGCAGAAUCAGUCUAAUUCCUUGAAUUCUUGGGAUGGUUUGCUAGUCUUCAAUUUACUCUUAUGUUGGACAUAUUUCGUUGUCAUACCUUUAAGACAGUUAUCACCUUCGGGGGCUUGGGAUGUCUAUUCAUAUGGUUGGUACAAGUUUAAGAUGAAUCUGGUCAUGCGAUUUUUAUUUGGCUGGUUGUUCUUAAGGAUUCUUUUUUGAAUCAGUCUAGUUCCAUGAGUGCUUGGGAUGAUCUGCUGGUCUUCAAUUUACUCUUAUGCUGGACAUAUUUCGUUGUCAUACAUUUAAGCCAGUUAUCACCUUCGGGGGCUUGGGAUGUCAGUUCAUAUGAUUGGUACAAGUUUAAGGAGAAUCUGGUUAAUAAUGAUGAGUGGUAUAUUUGGUUGUUUCAGUGGUUUGGAUCUUCUUCCAGGCAGUUUUCUGAGGAGUUUUUCUUCAUGUUUUUUUUUUCCAAUCAGUAUCAUACAAUUCUUAUGUUUGGAGGAAACAUGUCUUGGUUUAUCUUUGUUAGUCAUCUUUCUCUUUGGAGGAAUGAUGCACCUUUGUAUGUCACGCGUGGCUCAUUUAUGAGAAUUAAACGUCAACAUACUCAUGUUCUGAAAGAGGCUCCAGUAGUGGUUGAUUGUAAUAAUGGUCGAAGUGGCGCUGAUAAAGUAUUAGCGAAUUUGAAGAUUUCUUCAUUAGAACUGGACCGAUUGAGGAUGUCUACUUUACUUCCUGGACGCAACAUGUAAGGACCCUCAAGGAUGUCAACGCUAUUAGACUAGUCAAGGGACGUCUUAGUCGCUAAUUACUCGAUUAGUGUAACUCGAACUUUAACUAAUAGAAACUAAUCUAACAACGAUCUAGAUACGAAACUAGUACCGUUGGAUAAGUCUCGAAAAGUUGCGCGGAAUGGACUACACGAACGUGUCGUUCGGAUACUGGGCGAAGAAGAAAUCAUCAGGUUAGCAUAAAGGGAAAAUUAGUCUUUUUACCAUUAGACCGACCCGGCCUUUCCUUAUCGCGGACAAUAUGUGUUUAGGGUUUCCCCUUGGUCUUAUCUACCAAAACCUAAUCGAGAAGGAAAUCAUUUUCUCUUUUUUCGUCUUCUCUCUUAUUCUUUCUUCUUUUCGUUCUUCUUCUCCUGUUCUUCAUCAGUCGAUGAAAUUGAAGAAUCAAUUCAUGAUUUUGAGUUGUUAGUCAGUUGGUAAAGAUCCACGAAGGGUUAUUGAUAGUGAAGAUUAUGGAGUUUAAUUCUAUUUCAAAGGAAGCUAGGGUUUCUGUUCUUCCCCAAAUUGAGAAUAGGGUUUCUAUAAAUUAGUUUGGAGUUCGAUUCGAGUAAGGAAUAAGAUGAGUUAGAUGAUUUACAGGAUGGGUUUGUUUAAUCAAAGGUUUUGAUUGUUGAUUUGGGUUCGAAUUAGAGAAAAGAUGAUUUGAGAUUGAGAGCUGUUGAUGAGGAUUGAGGGGUGCUUGUUGUUAAUCUUGAAAUGAUGUUGAAUAAACCUAGUUGGUGGGUUGCUGUAGUUUCAAGGAGAAUUGAAGAAUCGAUUCAGAGAUAAUCGACCUUUUAAGUUGAAAUUGCAUAGUUUUGUUUCUAUUACUGAGUGAUUAUGAUUUCCUAUGAGAAAUGUGGUUGAAGUUUAGUUUUUGUUUGAGUUACAGGGCAUGGGUUUAUGUUUAAAUGAUAAGAGAAUUGAAUUGGUAGAGAUUCAGGGUGAUUGUGCAUUGGUGGAUGUUGUUGCCGUGAGGAGAUUACUGUAUUAGAAAUGAUGAAGGAUCUGAAGUUGAACCAGAUGGUGUAGGUGCUGUGAUGGAAUUGGUGGUUUGGUGUUGCCAUUGCAGUUUGGUAAGCUGCAGUUGGAGAUAAUCUGGUGGUGUUGUUAUGGGUUAUAGUGAUGUUUGGCUAGUAUGAGUUGCAGAUAUGGUUUAGAAUUGGAAUGAACUGGUGUUGAGUUGGGGAAGUAGAAAAGACGUGGUAGUGGUGAGAAUCACAGUGGGUUGUUAGUGUUGAAACUGUAAUGGUGGUGGUGAUAUUGAUUUGAACAGAAAUUGGGAAUUCAUUGUGUUAGGCCGGCGCAAGUAUAGUCUGGUGGUGAUGACAGUUAGAUGUAUGUACAUGAUUGGUGAUUGCAUUGAGUUGCAGAUGGAUCUAUUGAACUGCCAGGAACUCGUGCUGGUGGUGUUCUAAUGGUGAAUAAUCCGAGCUGAAAUUGUUGUGUUAGUGGAAGGGUUGAAAUGAGAAGUAUUUAGAUCAUAUGCAAGAAUGUGAAGUUGCAGAUGUUUUUGGAAAAAUAAGCUCUUGCGGCGAAAUUGGCUCGAAAAGUGGUGUUUUACACCCUAGGAUAGUGACUAAAAACAUCCCAGAAAUGCCCCGGAGGAACUCAGAAAAAAUGCUGGAAACACCCCAAAAAAAUUACUUAAGGCACCCCAAAGGACAUGUGUUAUUCGGACUCCAACAACGGAUAAGGGGCG